CCCCCACUUUCUCCAAUUCCGAUGUUGACGUUCUAACCCCCAGUACCCCGGAAAUCAACUGUAUUUAGAAAUGGGGUCUUUACAGAGGUGAUUAAAUUCAAAUGAGCCUGUUAGGGUGGGUCCUAAUCCCAUAUCCCAUAUGACUGGUGUCCUUAUCAGAAGAGGAGAUUAGGACACAGACAUGCACAGAGGGACAGUCAUGUGAGGACACAAGGAAAAGUCGGCCAUCCAGGGAGAGAGAAACCAACCUUUCCACGCCAUGAUCUCGGACUUCAGCUUCCAGAAUGUGUGAGGAUAAUCGUCUGUUGAAGCCACCCCAUCUGUAGUUAGUCCCCUGUGAGUUUGUCUGCCUCUCUGAUUUCUUUUGGGAGCAGCUCAUCGUGUUUCCCAUGUGAUGGGAGGAGCUGGAGGGCCCUCCCUUCUUAGGAAGACUGAUCGGAGCUCACAGCCGCAGGGCAAGCUCAACUCUGUGGCCUCCAUUUCGCAGAUCCAAUUAACAUGCACCCCUUUAAAGAGCUGUCACUACCUGCAGCACACACCACUUUUCAAACCAGAUUACACAUUUUUUGCUUCUUCAUCUGUUUAGCCACCGAGACUAUGCGUUCUGAUGUCUUGAUUUACAUAUUUUUUACUUCUUCAUCUGUUUAGCCGUCAAGACUGUGUGUUAUGAUGUCUUGAUUUAUUGAUGUACUCUCAGCACCUGGCCCGGUGCCUGGCAUAAAGUGGCUCCACACCAGAAUGUCUGUUGGAUGAAUGAAUGAAUAAAAUUACAACAUCUAACAGUUGUCACAUCCUCUCUAUACAU
rnacentral:lncRNA from 10 species